ensembl:lncRNA
GGGGGGGUGUACUAGUACAGUAAUAUAUACCAGUAUAGUCAGACAGACUAGUGUCCUGUCCAGGGGGUGUACUAGUACAGUAAUAUAUACCAGUAUAGUCAGACAGACUAGUGUCCUGUCCAGGGGGUGUACUAGUACAGUAAUAUAUACCAGUAUAGUCAGACAGACUAGUGUCCUGUCCAGGGGGUGUACUAGUACAGUAAUAUAUACCAGUAUAGUCAGACAGACUAGUGUCCUGUCCAGGGGGUGUACUAGUACAUUAAGUUGCCUCACUCUUCAGAAACAGGACACAGGCUCCUGCCCCUUGGUUCGCUCUGGCUUGGACAAGGCUUCCUUAUUUUGUCAGUAUGCUCACCGAGUAAGAUACUGCUCUAGAGAGAUACUACUCCUAUAAUCACUCUAUGGUGUGUGCUCCAAAUGGCACCCUAUUCUCUACAUAUUACACUACUUUUAACCACAGCCCUAUGGGCUCUGGUCAAUAGUAGUGCACUAUAUAGGGAAUAGGGUGCCUUACCUUUUGGGUCGCCUGCCUACAUCAGUGAUGAAUUAAUACAACCUUAGUUCUCCAGAGGGAUGAACAGUUCAUAGUUAACUAUGUGCUGAACGUAAUGAGUUGGCAGAUUACCUCAUCGUAUUAACAAGAGACCGGAAACAGAGUUGGAAACCAAUCAGGAACAUGCAUCAACACCUUUCUCCUCCAUUGCCAGCAGUAGGAUUAUGAAGAAACAAACAAAUGAAAAGAAAAUAAACAACAUAAUUCUCUACUUUUAAAUGAAAGGGAAUAUUCUAGGCUAGGGAAUAUUCUAGGCUAGGCUAGGGAAUAUUCUAGGCUAGGGAACAUUCUAGGCUAGGGAACAUUCUAGGCUAGGCUAGGGAAUAUUCUAGGCUAGGCUAGGGAACAUUCUAGGCUAGGCUAGGGAAUAUUCUAGGCUAGGCUAGGGAAUAUUCUAGGCUAGGCUAGGGAAUAUUCUAGGCUAGGCUAGGGAAUAUUUUAGGCUAGGCUAGGGAAUAUUCUAGGCUAGGCUAGGGAAUAUUCUAGGCUAGGCUAGGGAAUAUUCUAGGCUAGGGAAUAUUCUAGGCUAGGGAAUAUUCUAGGCUAGGGAAUAUUCUAGGCUAGGGAAUAUUCUAGGCUAGGGAAUAUUCUAGGCUAGGCUAGGGAAUAUUCUAGGCUAGGGAAUAUUCUAGGCUAGGCUAGGGAAUAUUCUAGGCUAGGGAAUAUUCUAGGCUAGGCUAGGGAAUAUUCUAGGCUAGGGAAUAUUCUAGGCUAGGCUAGGGAAUAUUCUAGGCUAGGCUAGGGAAUAUUCUAGGCUAGGCUAGGGAAUAUUCUAGGCUAGGGAAUAUUCUAGGCUAGGCUAGGGAAUAUUCUAGGCUAGGGAAUAUUCUAGGCUAGGGAAUAUUCUAGGCUAGGGAACAUUCUAGGCUAGGGAGCAUACUAGGCUAGGGAAUAUUCUAGGCUAGGGAACAUUCUAGGCUAGGGAACAUAAUAGGCUAGGGAACAUUCUAGACUAGGGAACAUUCUAGACUAGGGAACAUUCUAGACUAGGGAACAUUCUAGACUAGGGAACCUUCUUUCAGUUAGUUUAAGUUAUGUUCAUAUUCCAGAUGCACAACCAUCCCAUAGGUCAUGUGGAAUUAUACCGAUUGUAAAUGAUACCUACUGUAAAUGGUAAAUUGUACAUACUGUACUUUUUUAAAUUUUACCUUUAUUUUACCUUUAAUUAACUAGGCAAGUCAGUUAAGAACAAAUUCUUAUUUUCAAUGAGGGCCUAGGAACAGUGGGUUAACUGCCUGUUCAGGGGCAGAACGACAGAUUGUACUUUGUCAGCUCGGGGGUUUGAACUUGCAACCUUCCGGUUACUAGUCCAACGCUCUAACCACUAGGCUACCCUGCCGCCCCAUGAAAUGAUACCUACUGUAAAUGAUACAUACUGUAAAUGAUACCUACUGUACAUGAUACAUACUAUAAAUGAUACCUACUGUAAAUGGUACAUACUGUAAAUGGUACAUACUGUAAAUGGUACAUACUGUAAAUGGUACAUACUGUAAAUGAUACAUACGGCAGGCUUACACCAUGACUUCUCUGUUAAAGACAGUUAAUUGCUCUGAUUUGCCUCCAACACCUCUGCCCCUCAUCUCCUUGUCUCUUUCUAAAGGCCUGGGUUAGAAGGUUUCCCCUGCAGGUCAACUGUUGGUUGGUGAGCGAGGUAGUAGAGAUGUUACAGGGAAACAGAAACGUUGGGAGAAUAUUCAUCAGGUAGCUAAGCGCUGUCACAUGAAGUUUUAGCUGCUGUAUGGGCACCAGCCAUACUCUGGUGAAACCCAGAGAGAUGUGUUCCAGAGGGUCAUUGGGGAUCUAACAACAUAUUAGUUUGACAGGAGGGAAGGGGAUUGAUAUAGAUUUCUGUAAUGAAAAACUUUUGAGGAAUCUACAGUGGAGCUCAAUACCACACUAUUAGAUCCACUCAACUCCCAGCAGGGAGGAGAACAGAUGGAGAGAGUUGAUGUUUCUGUACUCUAUUAUCUGGAGACAAUCUCUUUAUGAUAUGACCUUUAGGCUUAUAGGGGAGGACAGGGGUGAGAGGGUCAAGCCUGAGAGACUGGUGCGCUACUCUACAUAAUACUGUAUACAUUGCCUUACUUGCUGUGUGGGGUCAUUUGGUGCAAAAGCAAUGUGAAGAGGGGAAUAGGACUAAACAGGAAAUUCAAUAUCCCUGCUGCUGGGAGGAGUUAGAAUGUGUUCCAUCUGAUACUACUGGGAGGAGUCAGAAUGUGUUCCAUCUGAUACUACUGGGAGGAGUCAGAAUGUGUUCCAUCUGAUACUACUGG